GCCUCAGAGAGGAGGCCAGAGCAAACGGUAGCCUCCACCCCCACCCCCGGGGACCCAGAGCCUCUCAGGCUCUGUUUCUAGACCUCCCUAGGCUGAAUAAGCCAAACUGUACAAACCAUAGGAGAUUGCAAAAGGUACAGUGAAUGGCUUCUGAGGCCAGGUCAAAAUUAGAAGCCAGCUGCAUGUCAGGAGGACAUUCAAGCAGCUCUACGAGAAGCCUAUGGAGUGAGGAUCUGAGGCCUCCCACCAACGAGCGUGCAUGUGUGAAAAGGAAGCUGAGCUGCACAGUGAGACAGUGAUGGAGCUGGGAUUAGGGACCAGAUCUCCAGGCCACCCCCAGUUCCAUGUGCUUCACCCUGCCUGCAGAGAGGAGCUAAAGCUAACAGGUCUUUGCAUUUCAGCAGGAGUGAUUCACAGAGAAAUUUGUCUGAGGGAAAAGACGAAAACUUGAUCAUGAGCAUCAGAUGAGAGGUAUUCGCUUUAACCAGAAGCAGCUCCAGAAAAUCAAGAUAAGAGGCACUCAGGAGCAGCGAUCUGAUUAGAAAUCAGAUUGCUGGCUAGAGAACUUGUUCAAAGAUUUAUAUAUAAAGCCAUGACCUGCUUUUUAUGGAGA